CUAAAUUAUAUAUGUUAUCCCACAUUGGUUUGAGAUAAGGACUUUGUACUAAAUAUAAUAUUUGGGCAAAUCUCCUCGAGCUAGCUUUUGAGGUAGAAUUAGGCCCAGUUCUUUUUCACUCUAUGCUAUUAGAGCCAACCAAGGACUUUGAUUUAAAUAUAAGAAUUGGGUAAACCUAUUCCGUUUGAGCUAGUUUUUGGAGUAGAG
rnacentral:misc_RNA from 1 species